rnacentral:rRNA from 1 species
CCUACGGGUGGCAGCAGUAGGGAAUCUUUCACAAUGGGCGAAAGCCUGAUGGAGCAACGCCGCGUGCAGGAUGAAGGCCUUCGGGUUGUAAACUGCUUUUAUAAGCGAGAAAUAUGAUGGUAACUUAUGAAUAAGGAUCGGCUAACUACGUGCCAGCAGCCGCGGUCAUACGUAGGAUCCGAGCAUUAUCCGGAGUGACUGGGUGUAAAGAGUUGCGUAGGUGGCAUAAUAAGUAGCGAGUGAAAUCUGGUGGCUUAACCAUUCAGACUAUUAGCUAAACUGUUAAGCUCGAGACCGUUAGGGGUAACUGGAAUGUCUGGUGUAGGAGUGAAAUGCGUAGAUAUUAGGAAGAACACCGAUAGCGUAGGCAGGUUACUGGAACGCUUCUGACACUAAGGCACGAAAGCGUAGGGAGCAAACGGGAUUAGAUACCCCAGUAGUC